rnacentral:tmRNA from 3 species
GGGGUCGAUUUGGCUUCGACAGGAUUCGUAUCCCUUGAGUGCAUGUCGGCUCGGUAAGCCGUAAAACUGCCACACAAAUAAACGCAAACAAUGCAACUUUCGCUCCAGCUUACGCAAAAGCAGCAUAAGCCUAACUAAUUUCGGAGCCGAUUAUUUAAGCAAGACUAGCGUGCUUUUAUAAUCGUUACCCUUGCUAGUUGCCCCUAGAUGUUGCUCGACUUCUAGGGAAAGAUUGAGCUUUUUGCACAAAUAAGUUUAAGGUCUUUUUGUGCGAGAAUCCAAAAACCUUAGCCCUUAAACAUGUCGAGUCUCUUGCGGUAGCGGAUUUUGGACUGGGGUUCAACUCCCCACGACUCCACCA